rnacentral:rRNA from 1 species
CAGUAGCCACGGUAAUACGAAGGGUGCAAGCGUUAAUCGGAAUUACUGGGCGUAAAGCGCACGCAGGCGGUUUGUUAAGUCAGAUGUGAAAUCCCCGAGCUUAACUUGGGAACUGCAUUUGAAACUGGCAAGCUAGAGUCUUGUAGAGGGGGGUAGAAUUCCAGGUGUAGCGGUGAAAUGCGUAGAGAUCUGGAGGAAUACCGGUGGCGAAGGCGGCCCCCUGGACAAAGACCGACGCUCAGGUGCGAAAGCGUGGGGAGCAAACAGGAUUAGAUACCCCUGUAGUCCCUGUCUCUUAUAC